AGAGUUUGAUCCUGGCUCAGAUUGAACGCUGGCGGCAGGCCUAACACAUGCAAGUCGAACGGUAACAGGAAACAGCUUGCUGUUUCGCUGACGAGUGGCGGACGGGUGAGUAAUGUCUGGGAAACUGCCUGAUGGAGGGGGAUAACUACUGGAAACGGUAGCUAAUACCGCAUAACGUCGCAAGACCAAAGAGGGGGACCUUCGGGCCUCUUGCCAUCGGAUGUGCCCAGAUGGGAUUAGCUUGUUGGUGGGGUAACGGCUCACCAAGGCGACGAUCCCUAGCUGGUCUGAGAGGAUGACCAGCCACACUGGAACUGAGACACGGUCCAGACUCCUACGGGAGGCAGCAGUGGGGAAUAUUGCACAAUGGGCGCAAGCCUGAUGCAGCCAUGCCGCGUGUAUGAAGAAGGCCUUCGGGUUGUAAAGUACUUUCAGCGGGGAGGAAGGGAGUAAAGUUAAUACCUUUGCUCAUUGACGUUACCCGCAGAAGAAGCACCGGCUAACUCCGUGCCAGCAGCCGCGGUAAUACGGAGGGUGCAAGCGUUAAUCGGAAUUACUGGGCGUAAAGCGCACGCAGGCGGUUUGUUAAGUCAGAUGUGAAAUCCCCGGGCUCAACCUGGGAACUGCAUCUGAUACUGGCAAGCUUGAGUCUCGUAGAGGGGGGUAGAAUUCCAGGUGUAGCGGUGAAAUGCGUAGAGAUCUGGAGGAAUACCGGUGGCGAAGGCGGCCCCCUGGACGAAGACUGACGCUCAGG
rnacentral:rRNA from 1 species